AAUAGAUACCCAGGUAGUCCUAGCUGUAAACGAUGAGCACUGGGUUGAGGGGACUUCCACAUCCUCUCGGCCGUAGCGAAAGCGUUAAGUGCUCCGCCUGGGGAGUAUGGCCGCAAGGCUGAAACUCAAAGGAAUUGACGGGGGCUCACACAAGCGGUGGAGGAUGUGGCUUAAUUCGAGGCUACGCGAAGAACCUUAUCCUAGAUUUGACAUGGUUGAGAAUCUCCUUGAAAGAGGAGAGUGCCCUUCGGGGAGCUCUUUCACAGGUGCUGCAUGGCUGUCGUCAGCUCGCGUCGUGAGAUGUUGGGUUAAGUCCCUUAACGAGCGAAACCCUUAUCUUUAGUUGCCAGCGGGUCAAGCCGGGGACUCUAAAGAGACUGCCGGUGUCAAACCGGAGGAAGGUGGGGAUGACGUCAAGUCCUCAUGGCCUUUAUGUCUAGGGCUGCACACGUCCUACAAUGGCACGUACAAAGGGAAGCCAAGCCGCGAGGCCGCGCUAAUCCCAAAAAGCGUGCCCCAGUUCGGAUUGCAGG
rnacentral:rRNA from 1 species